GUGUUGUAUGAAAGGAGAGAAGGCUAGCACUCCUCUUGAGAAGGUUGGAAGAGGUCCUAGUGGCCUUAACAACAAAAAUAUCGUUAAGCCAUUGCCACCUACUUUGUGGCAUCUAACCAGGUUUUUCU